GACAGAGGGUGCAAACGUUGCUCGGAAUCACUGGGCGUAAAGGGCGUGUAGGCGGGUAGAUAAGUCGGGCGUGAAAUCCCUAGGCUCAACCUAGGAACUGCACUCGAAACUGUUUAUCUUGAGUGCCGGAGAGGAAAGCGGAAUUCCUGGUGUAGAGGUGAAAUUCGUAGAUAUCAGGAGGAACACCAGUAGCGAAGGCGGCACUCUGGGCCGGUACUGACGCUGAGGAGCGAAAGCGUGGGGAGCCAAACAGGG
rnacentral:rRNA from 1 species